rnacentral:tRNA from 1 species
GCCUUCGUGGUGUAAUGGUCAGCAUAGUCGGCGCGUAUUUGAAAGAAUCGAGGUUCGAGUCCCGGCGAGGGCA